UACGUAGGGGGCAAGCGUUGUCCGGAUUUAUUGGGCGUAAAGAGCGUGUAGGCGGCCAUGCAGGUCCGUUGUGAAAACUCGAGGCUCAACCUCGAGACGCCGAUGGAAACCGCAUGGCUAGAGUCCGGAAGAGGAGAGUGGAAUUCCUGGUGUAGCGGUGAAAUGCGCAGAUAUCAGGAGGAACACCGGUGGCGAAGGCGGGUCUCUGGGCCGAAAUUGACGCUGAGGAGCGAAAGCGUGGGGAGCAAACAGG
rnacentral:rRNA from 1 species